GGGUGUAUAGCUCAGUGGUUGAGCAUUCGACUGCCGAUCGAGAAGUCACCGGCUCAAACCAGGGUUAACCUA